UGGGGAAUAUUGCACAAUGGGCGCAAGCCUGAUGCAGCAACGCCGCGUGAGUGAAGAAGGCCUUCGGGUCGUAAAGCUCUGUCCUCUGGGACGAAUAAAGUGACGGUACCAGAGGAGGAAGCCCCGGCUAACUACGUGCCAGCAGCCGCGGUAAUACGUAGGGGGCAAGCGUUAUCCGGAAUCACUGGGCGUAAAGGGUGCGUAGGCGGCCCGUCAAGUCAGAGGUGAAAGGCAGUGGCUUAACCACUGUAAGCCUUUGAAACUGAUGGGCUUGAGUGCAGGAGAGGUAAGUGGAAUUCCUAGUGUAGCGGUGAAAUGCGUAGAUAUUAGGAGGAACACCAGUGGCGAAGGCGACUUACUGGACUGUAACUGACGCUGAGGCACGAAAGCGUGGGGAGCG
rnacentral:rRNA from 1 species